GGGCGGGGGCUGCGGCCCUCGAGGCCGGACCACCAGCCCCAACGGGGGCGCGCGCGCUCCGCGCUCCCGCAGUCCGCCCAGGCCUCUCUUUCUCGGAGACCCGCCGGCUACCCCCAGGACCGGGCUCCAUCCGUGAAUCACAGGUCACGAGCAGAAGUACCAUUUGAACCUCAAAGCAAGACGGUGUGGAGCGCGGGCAGAACUUUAUCUAUACGAGGAAGAAAACUACAGCUGACAAAGCGGACCGACUUGGCCAAGGUUAAGAAGGCUGCUAAAUAGUGGUGCCUGAACUUGGGAGGCAGAGGCAGGAGGAUUGCAAGUUCCAGGCCAUCAUGAUGUACAGUCUGAGGUCCUGUCUGAGAAAAACCAGAGCUUUGGGCUGUAACUCCUCCCCAUAGGCUCAGGGGAACUCACACAGCACGCACACUGCCGUGGGUUCCUGAGGCCUCCAAAAUAAAUAAAUGGAUCCUGGUUUCCGAAA